CUAGCCCUACGGGGCGCAGCAGUGGGGAAUAUUGCACAAUGGGGGAAACCCUGAUGCAGCAACGCCGCGUGAGUGAAGAAGUAUUUCGGUAUGUAAAGCUCUAUCAGCAGGGAAGAAGAUGACGGUACCUGACUAAGAAGCCCCGGCUAACUACGUGCCAGCAGCCGCGGUAAUACGUAGGGGGCAAGCGUUAUCCGGAUUUACUGGGUGUAAAGGGAGCGUAGACGGCAGCGCAAGUCUGGAGUGAAAUGCCGGGGCCCAACCCCGGAACUGCUCUGGAAACUGUGAAGCUGGAG
rnacentral:rRNA from 1 species